GAAAGUUUAGUGCAGCAAGAUGUUUGUUCUGAAGCUACUGGAAGAUGAAUAAUGGUGCUAAUAACAAUAACAUAUUUAAAUCUGAAAGUGCAUUUGUUCAUUUGUAUUCUUAGAUCUCUGAUCAUUGCUUCUCCAGAGCUUCUUGCUCCGUAUUUUUACUUAAUGGAACUGUAUUCCUCAGAAAAGCUGCUCUGAAGGCUGUUUAUUUAAUAAGUGAGUUGCCUGACUGAGUCAGAGCUGAGAGAGAAAAGGAGAGAGAAAACACCAGCCAGCUGAAAAGCCAGGAGAAAGCAGCAGAGAAAGAUGGUUUUGUAACCCAUAUCUCCCUUAAGGCUAUUCAUGCAAUAUUGUUUAUUUCACGUCUGCAAAACUGGGUCUCCCUUUUUUGGAAUGCCAUUUCUCCUGAUUUCAAGAAAGUCAAUAUCAGUAUUUAAACAUCAGCCCCCCUGGUCAAAAUAAGUGGUCAUUCCAAGAAAACUUAUUAAUAUGAGGAGGAUUUCAGAGCCCCUGAUUCUCUGGGUCAAUGUCUUUCAUCAAGAUGAGGAGAUAAGAAGACAAAAGAACCCUGAUCCUAAACAAAAGAAAAUCCGAUGUAGACUUGGAUGGAAUAGAAUAUAUUCUAUUUGGACUUGGAUUGAAUUAGAGCUGAUGAUAGGCAUUUUUCUGCAAAAUAUCAGGAGAAAGAGGAGGAGGCAGAAGAGGAGGAGGAAGAGGAGGAGGUGACACCUACAUUUAUAGAGGGUGCAGAAUGAUGUGCAAGACUUUUGAAAGCAGAAGGCUGGGGGGUUUCUGUGGGAGUAAGAAGGAUUUACUGCUGUUGCACCAGCUAGAAUGGACACAGGGCUGAUUCAGCUGCCUACCUACAUCUAAUGGCACUGCAGGAAUUUGACUGCACUGCAGCCUUUUUUUCAUUUAGAGGUACCAUUUCAUCUCAAAUGAAGAAAUGAAGAAUGAAAUCUUUACACCACUGCCUAAAGAGGGCCUACAGGAAAGAUGAGAGGGACUUUUUACAAGGGCAUGGAUGGAUAGGACAAGUCCUGAUGGAUGAAUGGUCCUGGGAAGACAAAAGAGAGCAAGUUUGGAACACACCAAGAACCAUAUCUGGAUAAUUCCCUGCAACUGGAAAUCAUUGAGACAAAUUCUAUGACUACAUCUAAUCAGAAACUCAAUAAUUUUAUGGCUAUUAGCACCACAAACUAAAUCUGCAAGGAAUGGCAAUCAAAUAUCACACUUCAAGGCAUAAACUAAUUGUCCAGCAGGUCAGGAAAUUAUGUGUUGCUCCUAUGUUGAACAAAUGCUUAGAUGGCCUCUGAGUUUUCAUCUUUUUUUCCUGAAAAUAAAAGGCAAAAACCGAGAACUGAAUGAACACACAUUGUUGGAUGGAGGAAAGAAGAAAUACAGCUUUGUAAGGGAUGAGAUAAAUGGUGUAUUAAUGUAAAUCUCCUUGUUCUGGAUAAGCCCACUAUUUAAUACAUAACACCUUUCCACUCUAUGAUAUUCUUAAAUAACUUAAAUUAGAGCUGUGCCCGAGAGAAAUUAAAAGAGAUAUGAAGAAUCAAGGAGUAUUAUUUCAGGAUUGCUGGCAGAAAUUUUCCUAUACGAGAGACUCUUUUUUCUAUUCAUUUCCAUUGGUGGGUAAAAUCAGAGAUGAUGAUGUGACCCCAGCUUUCCAGGGUGAAGCUGUUAUGACAAUUAAUGGGGAAAAGAGAAGGAUAUGUCAGGACAGAUCCACAUCUCUAUACAGGAACAUAUAUUGGGGGCUGUAUCCAAUUUUUCUUUCUUAAAAGGCACAGAAAGAAGAAAAUAAAGGAGAAAGCAUCUUGCCUUAACAUUAGGACGCCUCUAUUUCAUUGUUUGCCUACA